GUUGCAGUUAAAAAGCUCGUAGUUGGAUUUCUGCGGGGGCGGGGCGGCCGGUUGCUUAUAGCAACUCGAGCUAGCACUUCCCCUGCAUCCUGCCGCGAACCGUGCUACCAUUAGUUUGGUGGCGCUGGGGAUCGGCUCGUUUACUUUGAGAAAAAUAGAGUGUUCAAAGCAGGCCACACGCCUUGAAUAAGUUAGCAUGGAAUAAUGAUAAAGGACUUCGGUUCUAUUUUGUUGGUGUUCGGGACUGAAGUAAUGAUUGAUAGGGACAGUUGGGGCGGUCAGUAUUCCAAAGCGAGAGGUGAAAUUCUUAGACCUUCGGAAGACUAACAGCUGCGAAAGCGUUCCGCAAGGAUGUUCCCUUUGA
rnacentral:rRNA from 1 species